rnacentral:tRNA from 1 species
ACAGGUGUGGGCCAGCCUGGUCAGAUGCCGCCCUCAUCGAGGGAGACGCCCGUUCAAAUCGGGUCACCUGUC